AUGACGGAGAUCAAGCUGCCGAAUAUCCAGAAAGCUACAUCAAGUGAUCACUGGAGUUUGGCCAGCAACCAGUAUCCAUCUGGUAAAUUUCCUAAGGUAUCAAUUGGCAUACCUCAUCCAAGGUCAGAUUCUGUAUCAAGAAGCAGAGAUGUUGCUGCUGCUGCUGCUGCUGCUCCUGCAUUCGAGAGGAACCUGUCUCAGAGAACUGAUGGAAGAUCGAGACCCCCGAAAGCGAAUAAUGCUUCACUCCGGGUCUCACAAGAAGCUGCAAACCAUGGAGGAUCUGCUGCAGAGGCACCUGAAGCCGCCCAUGUUAAGGUUUCUCUGUCACAACCUGAUGACCAUGCACGUGAGCAAACCGGAACCUUUUCCUUUGGAACAAGAAAAGAACAAGGCAGCCAGCUUGACCAACUGCAGAAGACAUCUGUCGUGAAUUCACAAGGAAAGCGCCAAGUGGAAUCUGCAGAUAAGACCAAACCCAACAGCGAAGUGCUCAGGAUGAAGCUGUGGGGGAUCCUUGGCACAUCACAAACCAAGCAGGCUGUUGCUUCACCAAACCCUGAAGACAUUGAGAGACCGGACCAACCUAAAAGUCUAACCGCCAAUGGACCAUCUCCAGGGAUCAAGAAGGUUUACACGUCACGUUUUCCUGAUAUUAUCAAGACACCUGAUCUUCUCAACUGUCAAACAGCUACCUAUGCAAAGAGCAAACCAUCCUCUGAUCCAAUUGAGUCAGAUUCUGAUACUCCACAAGUAGUUGAAGUGAGGCCCGUUACUCGCACCUUGAGUCGCACGAAAGCACCAGCAGCCUCCAAGAAGCAGGAUAAGAGCCAGAGUGCAAAGAGACCAUUGUCUACUUCACGUUCUGCACCCAAGCAGAAAACACUGGACAGUGUGUUUGUUUUUGAUGAGAAAUGCACACCCAAAACCAUGGGGAAAUCUGCAAAUGGUAACUCUCGCUGCUUGAGAAAUCUUAGAAGCUCAAAUAGGAAGGCUAAAGUAGAGCUUAAGAAGGUCCAUUGUUCUGACAAGAUUUCUGACAAGAUCACACAGGAUGCUAGGGAAGGACAGCUAUCUUCUAGAAAUGCAGCAUCGGAGAAUAAGGGAGAGAAAACCACCUCCUUUUCUUCGUUGUCCCGAACUGGAAAAACUGCUGAGAGCCGUUCUAGAAGCCCUACAAGGGAGAGACGGCUGAAUGGGGCUAAAGUUGGGCUUCAGAAGAUGCAUUUGUCAGAGAAGUUGCUGCCCACGACACUGAAUGAGGGUGAAGAUAAGCUCUCUUCGCAGAAUAUUUCAUCAAAGAGCAAGGAAAAUUAUUCUUCAUUGCUGCACCGGAAGGAGAAUUCUAAUUUGAGCAAAGCUUCAGACAGAAGCCCUCAGGCACAUAAACCAGUGGGAAAUACAUUUAACUUGCCACCAUCUGGCGCUGCUAGUCCAUCACCUGAACCGAAAAUGUACCCAUGCAAUGAGGCAAGUCCCCAGAUAAAUGGUAAACCAUCUGGGGCUGCUAGUCCAUCACCUGAACCAAAAAUGUACCCGUGGGACAAUGAGGCAAGUCCCCAGAUAAAUGGAAAACCAUCUGGUGCUGCUAGUCCAUCACUUGAAGCGAAAAAGUACCCAUGGGACAAUGAGACAAGUCCCCAGAUAAAUGGCAAACCAUCUGGUGCUGCUAGUCCAUCUCCUGAAGCGAAAAAGUACCCAUGGGACAAUGAGGCAAGCCCCCAGAUAAAUGGUAAACUGGGAGAGAAGUUUGCCAGUCCAUUGGCAGCCAGAUUCAGAGACAUGGGAGAUGAGUUUGCAAGUCCUACUUUUGCAACUAAUGUAAAUGGCUACCACAAUAGAAGCAAAGUGCUACAUGAUGACACAUACAGCCCCAAGUAUCCAAAAAGUGUGAACAGGUCAAGAUCAAGUUCCUUUGCUUCUGAUCCAGGGUCUGAGCCAUCGGACGGGAUGGAUAAAACCUAUGAGUUACCUAAAAGUGAAUCUCCCAAUUCUUCAGAAGAAAGAGAGAACAAAAAACAACCAUAUCUUUCACCCAUUUUGCCAACUGAAGAUGAAAUGGCUCAAACUUCUAUUCCAAGUUUUGGGAAAGGAUAUAAAACUCGCAAAUGGCUUUCAGAUGUAGACAGCCCUGAUAAAUCUCCAACAGAAAAUCAGGAUAAGAAAUCACAUCUAAAAGAGGGUAAAAGAGGCAAACGGCGGUUACCUUCGCCUGUUCCUUUUGCCACUUCUGGAACACAAGAAACUAUGAUGUCAGACAAAGAACCAGUGCAAUGCCCAGAUGACUACCUGAACAGGGCUUUUGAUGAGUUACUGCUGGUGCUGGGAAGGUUUCAAACCAAGAUCAAGUCUGAAACAAGAAAUAGAAGUUCUGAGAUACUGGCAGGUACUGGAGAGAUAAUUCGCCAGCACCUGGAGGGAGUUGAGGUGCAGAUGCAGGAUGAUGUGAAUAAGCUGGUCAAUGCAGGAAAAUCUAAAAGGAAGCGACUAAACUCAACAUUUGAAGAGCAACAAGAACAGUUACGGAUUCUUCAUGAGAAGUUUAAGGAGGAGGUUAAUCAGCAGUUGCUUGGUUGCAAGAACUCUCUCGAGGAAUUUGAAGCCUAUCAUGCAGAACUUAAGGCAGUAGCUGAGAAGCAAAAAGCAUCACACAAGAAGCUCCUCCAACAUGCCGAGAGCAGAGUUGGUUCUCAGCUCAAUGAUGCCGAAAUCAAGAUCGCGAAGGUUCAAAAGAGAGCUCGGAGGAGGAUGAAUGGAUUAAAACACGUGCUCAAGGAGCUCAUCAUCGACACCGCAGAUUGA
rnacentral:rRNA from 1 species